UUUGUUCCAUUGAUGAGGAAAGUGAUUAAGGUAGUAAUGAAAAAAAGGAAGCAUGAAGAACCCUUCUUGGCAAGGAAAGCCUCAGAAAGGUGUGGCUUCCAGAACAGAGGAGGCAGCUUUGAAAGCGCAUUCAGUAUUGCCAAUGCAGGAUAUAGUGUGGGUCUCUCUUGGGGCCAUUCUCCUGGGUGGAGAACUAACCAUGCCUUCCACCCAGUCCAUGAGCCAGAGAUGUCCUCUUGAACAGGAUUUUGGAGCUUCCUUUCCUACAGUAAAAGAUAAACCCUGCUCUCUUCUGCUUGAAAAUGGCUGUACGAGAGGAGCCAUUGAUCCCAUGAAGAAUAAUGCCAGAUAAUGGAGUUGGAAAACAGAAAUUUGGGUGUUGAAAGAUAUCUUGGAACCUUCAUACCAUCCCUGGAUUGCCCUACUUCAUCCUUGCUAUGAUGUGAGCCAACCUCUCAACCCACAACAAACAACUGAUGCAACAUAUUCCAACAGGAAAGACUAGUUUAGGCAUUUAUUUCUUUCUCAUGAUGGGUCUGACAGAGUUUUAGGCCAAUCUCUAGGGAGCUGGAAUGGAAGUAUUAGUUCAGCAUUUGCAGGGUCUAAUCUGUUACAAUUGCUCUUACAGUCACUCUGAAAAAAAGGGCCAAAGAUCAGAGCAAGCACAAUAAAAUACUCUAAACAAAAGUGACACAUUUCAUGCAGACACAUAUUUUAUUAU